rnacentral:rRNA from 1 species
UCUGACGACCAUAGCGCUUUGGUCCCACCCCUUCCCAUCCCGAACAGGACCGUGAAACAAGGCCGCGCCAAUGAUAGUGCACUCCACGUGCGUGAAAGUAGGUCAUCGUCAGAC